UUCCUUCAGCAGCACCUAUAUUAAAAAAAUUGGAAUAAUUCAGAGAAGAUUAGUAUGGCCCCUGCACAAGGAUGACAUGCAAAUUUGUGAAGCGUUCCAUUUAAAA
ensembl:snRNA U6 U6 spliceosomal RNA